GAUGAACGCUGGCGGCGUGCCUAAUACAUGCAAGUCGAGCGAACAGACGAGGAGCUUGCUCCUCUGACGUUAGCGGCGGACGGGUGAGUAACCCGUGGAUAACCUACCUAUAAGACUGGGAUAACUACGGGAAACCGGAGCUAAUACCGGAUAAUAUAUUGAACCGCAUGGUUCAAUAGUGAAAGACGGUUUUGCUGUCACUUAUAGAUGGAUCCGCGCCGCAUUAGCUAGUUGGUAAGGUAACGGCUUACCAAGGCGACGAUGCGUAGCCGACCUGAGAGGGUGAUCGGCCACACUGGAACUGAGACACGGUCCAGACUCCUACGGGAGGCAGCAGUAGGGAAUCUUGCGCAAUGGGCGAAAGCCUGACGGAGCAACGCCGCGUGAGUGAUGAAGGUCUUCGGAUCGUAAAGCUCUGUUAUCAGGGAAGAACAAAUGUGUAAGUAACUAUGCACGUAUUGACGGUACCUAAUCAGAAAGCCACGGCUAACUACGUG
rnacentral:rRNA from 1 species